UACGGGGGGAGCAAGCGUUGUUCGGAUUUACUGGGCGUAAAGGGGCGCGUAGGCGGUCAGCACAAGUCAGUUGUGAAAUCUCCGGGCUUAACCCGGAAAGGUCAACUGAUACUGCGGGGCUAGAGUGCAGAAGGGGCAACUGGAAUUCGUCGGUGUAGCGGAUGAAUGCGUAGAUAUCGAGAGGAACACCUGCGGCGAAGGCGGGUUGCUGGGCUGACACUGACGCUGAACUGCGAAAGCUAGGGGAGCGAACGGG
rnacentral:rRNA from 1 species